GUUAGCUGUGAUGCUCAUAUGAGUCUGUAGCCUAUCUGAUUUAAAAUGGGAUAGCAAUUUCGGCAGAAUAUGUUAUGGUAGUGUGAUUUAAAAAACACACAUUGUUAUUUAACAUUAGUCUGGUCUUGUCUGUUUUAAUGUGUCGCUGUUGUCCAUAUAGUGCUACUAUGCUAGCGGCAUAUAGCUGCUAGCUAGCAUGCUGCUAGGCGCAAUUGCAUAAGUUAUUGCUAAUGUCUAUUAGUGCUAUACAUAUAUUGAAAUCACGUUUGCGAUGCAAACCUUGAUUAAGGUGAUAUUGGCACUGGUAUUUCAGUCAAUGAAGUCAGUGAAGCACUCUGCUAUGAUAGCUACCUACAACUUUAGCAUGUUGACUCACUGAUAAUGGUUUAGCCCUAGCCUCUAGCUAGCUGUGCAUUAACGUUUGCAUUUUGCCAAGUUUGAUCUCAUACGUAACUUUAGUGUCUAUCUGCCAUCUUUGUAAUGAAAGCCUCGGCAUUUUAAUCACUAUUUAAGUCGGUUCAGACAACUAUUGGCAUCGGUUUGUGAUUUAUUAUGCUAACGUAACUUAACUGUAUGGAACUUGGUCCCCAUCUUCUAUUUUGUUUGUUCUGCAGCGUCAAAUUUUAUCGGCUGGAUUCUAGCAUCUAACGUUACGAUUGCCUCUGUUGGGUUUGCUUGAUCAACCAUCGUUUCGGGGACUCUGAUGACAGUGAAGAGCCAGAAAAUGGUGACUUUGCAUCUCUGAGGUACCUUCCAACUCUCCUGGUAUAUCAGUUGAACCCUCAAGCCCAAGCCAAUUGCAUGGCAAACUCCACCAUCUCGCCGAGUGCCAGGCAGCCGAGUCACUACCCCUCAACCUGGAGAAAACUGUUAAGCACCUCACCAUGGGGCAGGACUGCAACACUCUUCACCACCUCAACUCCCUGCACCUGCAUUUAACAUAUGGAGAGUUACUCAAGGAACGGCAGUCUCUCCUCAACUCCUCCACUCCCCAC